ensembl:snRNA U6 U6 spliceosomal RNA
GUGCUGGCUUCAGCAGCAUAUAUACUAAAAUUAAGAAUGAUACGGAGAAGAUUAGCAUGGCCCCUGUGCAAAAUGAUAUGCACAUUUGGAUGCAUUCCAAACUUUA